rnacentral:misc_RNA from 1 species
CCGAAAUUUAAAACUCACAACGCGAGUCUCGUGCGGAAGCAAAUAUGACUGCCGAGACUUCGUGACUCUUCAAGUCUUCCUUUGCUCAAGUCAAACCACACUCGUGAAGCACAUGUGACGAGUCUGUGGUGAGCAUCGGGAGCACUGCGUUUCCUUCGGGAUUCACAGUCUAAAAAACGAAUUGUAAAAGUAUAUAUAAACAAAAAAAGACGAAAAAAC